UCCAGAGGAGGGAAUCGUUCCUUCCUCAGCUCCAGGCUGUGACCACUAGAGGUCUUGUUCUUCUCUCCAUGAGCAGCUGUUCGGUUCGCGCUGCCUGUUUUUUAUUUAUUUAUUCCUACGUGAGCAGACCCAGCGCACUUCUUGCCUACAACCAGCCAAAAUUACAACCUAAAGGACCCAAUAUACCUUCUUUUGGAGUAACAGUAACCCCCGUGAGAGCCUUGCCUACUUUUUUAAGGCUAAGAAGACACAUUUUCUGCAGGUAACCCAAAAGCUUUCAGGGCUCCCUAAGGUCAAGCAGGAAGAAGGUGGAAUCUCUUCCACGGCUGCAAAAGUGCAGAUUAGCUGUGGGUGCAACAUUUUUGGGGAAAAGCAACAGCUGAGGCACAUCA